CAUAUGAUACUAUUUUCUUCGUUGACUUCUUUUCAGGAGUAUUAUCAAGUAAUCUUUUUAUUUCCUGCAUUCAAGUGUCAUGGAAAACUUCGUAUGGAUGUCUUCAAAUAUUGUGAAUGGUGGUACUUGGCUGAAUCAGGAAUUCUGUUAUUUAAGAGGAAAUCUAUUUCAGUGCUACAGUUUAGUUGAUCAAAAUGCUCGGUCUUCUUUUGUAGAUGGAGAUUUUGGAACUUCUCUCUCUCUGUAAUAUACUAUAGUAUACUGAAAGCUAUUCUUAAUUUUUUUGGUGAAUAGAAGGAAUAACAUGCUUAAAUGCAAGAUAGUACUAUUAUGUGUCACAAAGCACCAAGCAGCUGUUUUUUU